UGAGUAACCUGCCCUUCACUCUGGGAUAACUCCGGGGAAACCGGGGCUAAUACUGGAUAUGACUCGAACAGGCAUCUGUUUCGGGUGGAAAGAUUUAUUGGUGGAGGAUGGACUCGCGGCCUAUCAGCUUGUUGGUGAGGUAAUGGCUCACCAAGGCGACGACGGGUAGCCGGCUGAGAGGGCGAUCGGCCACACUGGGACUGAGACACGGCCCAGACUCCGUACGGGAGCA
rnacentral:rRNA from 1 species